AACGCGAAGAACCUUACCUACUCUUGACAUCCAGAGAACUUAGCAGAGAUGCUUUGGUGCCUUCGGGAACUCUGAGACAGGUGCUGCAUGGCUGUCGUCAGCUCGUGUUGUGAAAUGUUGGGUUAAGUCCCGCAACGAGCGCAACCCUUAUCCUUUGUUGCCAGCGAUUCGGUCGGGAACUCAAAGGAGACUGCCAGUGAUAAACUGGAGGAAGGUGGGGAUGACGUCAAGUCAUCAUGGCCCUUACGAGUAGGGCUACACACGUGCUACAAUGGCAUAUACAAAGAGAAGCGACCUCGCGAGAGCAAGCGGACCUCAUAAAGUAUGUCGUAGUCCGGAUUGGAGUCUGCAACUCGACUCCAUGAAGUCGGAAUCGCUAGUAAUCGUAGAUCAGAACGCUACGGUGAAUACGUUCCCGGGUCUUGUACACACCG
rnacentral:rRNA from 1 species